CUAGUGGAAGAGGCAGGAGCUGUCCGUUUCUAAAAUUCGCGUCGUGGUGUGUUUAAAAAGCUAGGUAGAAUCCCAUUCAGUGGUAUUCAGUGUAGGCAGUGUCGUGUGCGUAUUUGUGAGACUAAAGAUUCGUAACGGUCAAACGCCCAACACACCACACCAUACCGCUAGCGACAGCUUCUGACCCCAUCGUCAGCGCUCAGAGUUUCCCGGCG